GCAUUGGUGGUUCGGUGGUAGAAUUCUUGCUUUCCAUCCAGAAGACCCAGGUACGAUUCCUGGCCGACGCA
rnacentral:tRNA from 1 species